UACGGGGGAUGCAAGCGUUAUCCGGAUUUAUUGGGUUUAAAGGGUGCGUAGGCUGUGAGGUAAGUCAGCGGUGAAAUGCCCCCGCUCAACGGGGUGAAGUGCCAUUGAUACUGCCUUGCUGGAAUGCGGAUGCCGUGGGAGGAAUGUGUGGUGUAGCGGUGAGAUGCAUAGAUAUCACACAGAACACCGAUUGCGAAGGCAUCUCACGAAUCCGCGAUCGACGCUGAUGCACGAAAGCGUGGGUAUCAAACAGG
rnacentral:rRNA from 1 species